AAAGAUUCGAACCUGCAGCAGGUUUGAGUUGAGCGCAGCGAAACAACGGAGCCGCUCGCGGCGACGGCCCGAAGGGCGAGCGAAGCGAGUCAUCCUGCAAGACCCACCA
rnacentral:sRNA from 1 species